UGGGGAUUCUUCCGCAAUGGGCGAAAGCCUGACGGAGCAAUACCGCGUGAGGGAGGAAGGCUCUUGGGUUGUAAACCUCUUUUCUCAGGGAAGAAAAAAAUGACGGUACCUGAGGAAUAAGCAUCGGCUAACUCCGUGCCAGCAGCCGCGGUAAUACGGAGGAUGCAAGCGUUAUCCGGAAUGAUUGGGCGUAAAGCGUCCGCAGGUGGCUGUGUAAGUCUGCUGUUAAAGAGUCUGGCUCAACCAGAUAAAGGCAGUGGAAACUACACGGCUAGAGUGCGUUCGGGGCAGAGGGAAUUCCUGGUGUAGCGGUGAAAUGCGUAGAGAUCAGGAAGAACACCGGUGGCGAAAGCGCUCUGCUAGGCCGCAACUGACACUGAGGGGCGAAAGCUAGGGGAGCGAAUGGGAUUAGAUACCCCAGUAGUC
rnacentral:rRNA from 1 species